GGCCGUGCUUUGUUAUUUCAACUGAUCGAUAGCGUCUUCUUACAUGCGUGUUUUUCUUCCUACAUGUCAUUGUAUGACUGUGAAGUUAUUAAGUAAGAAAGGUAUGCCUCUUGCGUAAAAUACAAAGCUGUGCUGCCAUUUAGUUAUUUUAUGAACACCUUGGUAACUAUUGUGAGGUUAGUUUCGCUACGUAUUUCGUGAAGAGUGUGGACUCUCCUGUACUGAACAUCGUAUGUACUCAAGAAAACUGUUACCUCUACUGGAGCAACAGAGCAUUCGACCUCAGUCGUCAUUGGGCAAGGCAGGAGGGAGGAAUGCUGUUGAUAGCAUGUCUCGUGUGCCGUUCGCACACUAAAGUCGUCACACGAUUGGUAAUCGUGGUUAAGAAGUGGAGCAGUAAAAAAAAGAAAAAAAAAGAAAA